GAGCAAAACUGAAAGGAAGCCAACCGUCUCUGGGCCAGAGAGGACUGACGUGCCUGGCACAGCCCAGCCUCGAGAGAGAGAUCUGUCUGCUCUAAGGGCUUUGCAGAGGACAACCCCAAGCAAGGUGGUCCCAAGGGAACACGCAGAGAGAUCCAAAUACUGAUCAAGGACAGCUCAGUCUGAGGAGGGCUGAGGUCCUGGGAGCUGUGCUUGUUCACAUGAGCCGAAGAUGUGACUGCUUGUUUCCCAGAUACUCCUUCUGUAUCUGAAACUGAAAGGAAGAAAAUCUCAACUUCACGAUUGCAUGGAGUUAGUUAUGUCACUGCAGAACCCUUGACAUGUGGAGAUGAAAUAGUGGGCACAGAAACCUCACUGCAAAAUCCCAUGGUAGAGCUCCUAAGAGUGGCAAGGAAAGGACUGCAAUUUCCCUCCUUGAGAAAUAUGGACAAAAC
rnacentral:lncRNA from 1 species